rnacentral:lncRNA from 1 species
GCUGUCCGAGCUCAUUACACUGCUUGCUCCAGUGCUCACGAACUGGAGGAGGACUUGGAGAACAGCUAGAGCUUGAAGAAUGGCUAGGGCUCAAUGGUUCCACAUGAGGAUGCCUCAAUCUCUAAGUGGUUCACUUCGUGGGAGCCGUGGAGAUCCGAACCAUAAAAAAUUCGAUAAAAAAUUGAAGAGGAAUGAUCGUUUUGGGGAG